CCUUACGAGCCACGUGUCUUUCUCUCUGUUUCUCUUCUCUUCUUCUCUUGGUAUCUAUUUCUUCAUCUUGUUUCUCUCCCGAUGAUGAAGAAACUCGUUUUCUCCCGAUGAUUUGAUUAGUGAUAUUUGUUUCUCUAGUAGGCAGAAUUUCCAGGGACGGUUUGAUUAGUGAUUUUUUUCUUAAUCUGGGGUUCAUGAAAUUGGAUUGAAAGCUGUGAUUUUUUCUCUUAAUAAGCUCUUGAAGUCUUGGUGGAACUGGUGACAAUGUGUUCAAUUCUCUCUGGGAAGCUCUUCCAACCGUCGCCGUCGUCGGUGGUCAGAGUUGUGGAAAAUCUUCGGUUCUUGAGAGUAUAGUUGGUAGAGACUUUCUUCCUAGAGGAUCCGGUAUCGUUACGAGGCGUCCUUUGGUGUUGCAGCUGCACAAGACGAAGGAAGGAACAUAGGAGUAUGCAGAGUUCCUCCAUCAUCCCAAGAAGCAAUUCACAGACUUCGCUUUGGUUGGGAAGGAGAUUCAAGAUGAGACUGAUAGAAUCACUGGGAAGAGCAAACAGAUAUCUCCAGUUCCUAUUCACCUUAGUAUCUUCUCUCCAAAUGGCAGCAUCAAAUACCUCUCGAAGAGUAUGAUGAUAACGAAGCUAUGACUGACACUGGAGAUACAUGGUUUGUUCUGUAAUAGUUUAAUGAGACACAAACGUAACUGAGACUCUCGGUGUUCUGUUCAGACAAGCAACUCUAUGCUAUGUUGGUGGAUAACUUUAACAAAAAAAGUAUUUAGUUACUAAGAAACAACAUAAAGUCUCACCAAUAAUCUGCAUUUUUGUUAAUGUUUCUUAACAUUGUCCUUAACUUAAAAGUAAUAAUAAAAUAACCUAAGAACUCUAA